rnacentral:lncRNA from 1 species
UGGGCGACGUAAGUAGAAGUAAGUAGACAGCAGGUAAAAAUAAUGCAGCAUCGUUUUUGUCCAGAGAAACAGAGCGAACACGACUUUUUAAGCGGCCUUUAACAAAGUUGGUUUUCGCGGUAGGCUAUCCGACCCCUGCUUUAGGCAGCAACUUUAACUCUGGCCGUCCGUGAAUUGGGUGCUUUUGGUGUUAACAGGGAUGCCUCGUAUGUAUUACUUGCUUCUUUUCUUUUUUUUUUUUUUUCAAAGAGGGAAUAGAAAAAAAAAAAACAGGAAGAACAGGGCUGGCCAAAAAAAAAAAAAUUCACCGAAAUCUCCGAGCCUGUGCGUGAGCCAAUCCCCGCAUGCGAUACAUAAUUUUUUGUACUGCACGCAGUGCGUGAUUUUUCC